UACCAAUUAAAAGACAAACACUGGCAGAAUGAAUAAAAAAAUCAUUCAAUUGCUAUCAAGCUGAUCUGACUCAUGGUGACCCCUCCCCCCAUGUGUGUCAGAGUAGUAGUGACACUCAAGUGUGUGAGUUCAACAGCUAAUUUUUCAAAAGUAGACCGCCAAGCCUUUCUUCCGAAGUGCCUCUGGGUGGACUCAAACCUCCAACAUUUUGGUUAGCAGCUGAAUGCAUUAACCGUUUGCACCUCCCAAGGACUCUAUGUUUAUUUCUGUAUUACUUGUCUUUAUACUAUAUACAUACACACACACAUAGACAUCCAUGAGUGGUUCAUACAGAUGCUUUGGACUUCGACUAGCAGGGCUCUAUUAAUUAUUGAUAGAAAAGUACUGAUACCAAUUACAAAUGCGUAUUUGUCCAUUUCCCCUUUCAGAUUUAUUAGUUUUUGUAUUUUGGAGCCCUGUUGUUAAAUAUGUACACAUUUAGGAUGGUUGUAUCUUUUUGGAGAAGUGAACCUUUAUUAUGUUAUGUCCCUACCUAUUCCCAAUAAUACUCCUUUUUCUGAAGUAUAAUUUGUCUGAUAUUAAUAUAGUACUGCAGUAGAAAUGGAUAAUUUUCAACCAUUUCAAGAGGUAGCAUAAGAUCAAGAACUGAUGGUAUAAAAGGAAGAAAUCGAAGCUGCAUUGAAGGCAUUGGUGAAAAAACUAUCCUCUCUCCACCAUCUUCACUAACUCUGACACCAACUGUCCCUCACACAGCACUCCCUACUUCUCUGCUGGGUUCAAUAAUUCAUUGCAACGGCCACACAGAGCUCACAGUCCAUAUUCAUGAUUAUGGGGUUUAUUAGGGAAGUAACAGUUAUAACUCAGGCUCAAAGACACUCAGAAUACAGUUCUUCUAUUGGGACAGCCUCUUCCCUCCUGUGCUCAUAGGCAUGCCUCUGCCUGGCCUUGGGCCUCUCUCCAAAGGCACUCAGCUUUCCUUCUCCCUGGGCCAUCAUCUCCUAUAGCCGGGUCCCUGUUGCUUGGUCUCUCCUGCCAUGGCAUCUUACCGUCUUCAGGGUUACAGCUUCCUCUCUCUAUCUCAGUCUCUGCUUCUAGGAGCUUCUCAGUGCAGGGAUCUCAGGUCCAUAAUAUAUGCUCAGCUCCUGGCUGUUCUUCCUUGAUGGGAGUUGAAUCCUCCUCUUUGCUCUGGAACUGGUUCUCUUUGAAGGGAAAACUAAACAAUCCCCUUGGUGAGCCACAAUUACCCUAUCACACAGUCCUGCCCAAGUACCAGGGUAGAUGUUAUAAGACCAUGGCUAGAAAGGCCACACAAAGUAAACAAUCACAUCACAGUACCUUGGACUCAUUUUUCGAGUGAAGUAUCAAAAAUCCCAUCAGAACGGAUUGAUAAAGAACAUAAUCAAUAGCAAGAACAUUUUCAUAAUUAUGUUUUCUGUAUUUGGAAGAAAUCUAUAGCACUAUUCUUAUUUUGCCAAUUCACAGGGAUCACAGAGAUUAGUGGUAGAUAUCGCAGUACCAGAAAACUCUCUGGUGAAACAGUCUCUGAGCAGUCUUACAAACACGGAUAUUCCACCAGAGUCAAAAGAAUGACGUUACAUUAAUCAUCAAAGAGAACAUUUCAAGAUCUAGCCUGAAGUACAAUGCUGUCACUGAUAGGCUAAUAUCCAUACACUUACGAGGAAGACCAGUUUAUAUGACUAUUCAAAUUUAUGCACCAACCACCAAUGCCAAAGACAAAGAAAUUGAAGAUUUUAAACAACUUCUGCAGCCUGAGAUUGAUCAAACAUGCAAUCAAGAUGCAUUGAUAAUUACUGGUCAUUAGAAUGUUAAAGUUGGAAACAAAGAAGGAAAAGUAGUUGGAAAAUACAGCAUUGCUGAUAGAAAUGAUGCCAGAAAUCUCAUGAAAGAAUUUUGCAAGACCAGUGACUCAUCCAACUAUUUUUUUUUCACCAACAUAAACGGCAGCUAUACACGUGGACUUUACCAGAUGGAAUACACAGGAAUCAAACUGACUACAUCUGUGGAAAGAGAAGAUGGGAAAACUCAUAUCAUCAGUCAGAACAAGGCCAGGGAUCGAUUGUGAAACAGACUGUCAAUUGCUCAUAUGGGAGUUCAAGUUGAAACUGAAGAAAAUUAGAAUAAGUCAAAAAGGGCCAAGGUACAACCUUGAGUAUAUCUCACCUGUAUUUAGAGACCACCUCAAGAAUACAUUUUACAUGUUAAACACUAACGACUGACGACCACGUGAGUUGGGGAAUGACAUCAAGGACAUCACACAUGAAGAAAGCAAGAGGUCCUUUAAAAGACAGGAAAGAAAGAAAAGACCAAACGGAUGUCGGAAGAGACUCUGAACCUUGCUCUUGAAUGUCGGGUAGCUAAAGUGAAAGGAAGAAAUGACGAAGUAAUAGAGCUGAACAGAAGAUUUCAAAGGGUGGCUUGAGAAGAAAAAGUAUUAUAAUGACAUGUGUAAAGAUCUGGAGAUAGAUAACCAAAAGGGAAGAACACACUCAGCAUUUCUCAAGCUGAAAGAACUGAAGAAAAAAUUCAACCCUUGAGUUGCAAUACUGAAGGAUUCUACGAGUAUAAUAUUAAACGACGCAGGAAGCAUCAAAAGAAGAUGAAAGUAAUACCCACAGUCACUAUGCCAAAAAGGAUUGGUCGACCUUCAACCAUUUCAGGAAGUAGCAUAUGAUCAGAAACCGAUGGUACUGAAGGAAGAAGUCCAUGCUGCACUGAAGGAAUUGGUGAGAAAAAAAAGCCUCCAAGAAUUGACGGAAUACCAACUGAGAUGUUUCACCAAAUGGAUGCAGCACUGGAAUCGCUCACUUGUCUAAUCCCAAGAAAUUUGGAAUACAGCUACCUGGCCUAUGAACUGGAAAGGAUCCAUAUUUACACCUAUUCCUAAGAAAGGUGAUCCAACCAAAUGUGGAAAUUGUCAAACAAUAUCAUUAAUAUCACAUGCAAGUAAUAUUCUGCUAAAAAUCAUUCAAAAGCAGCUGCAGCAGUACAUUGACAGGGAACUGCCAGAAAUUUAAGCAGGAUUCAGAAGAGGACAUGGAAGAAGGGAUAUCACAGCUGAUGUCAUAUCGAUUCUGGCUGAAAGCAGAGAAUACCAGAAAGAUGUUUAAACCUGUGUUUUAUUGACUAUGCAAAGGCCUUUGACUGCUUGGAUCAUAACAAAUUAUGGAUAACAUUGCGAAGAGUGGGAAUUCCAGAACACUCAAUUGUGCUGAUGAGGAACCUGAUCAAGAGGUAGACGCUCAAACAGAAAAAAGUGAUACUGCGUGGUUUAAAGUCAGGAAAGGUGUGUGUCAGGGUUGUAUCCUUUCACGAUACUUACUUAAUCUGCAAAUAAUCUGAGAAGCUGGACUAUACAAAGAACACGACAUCAGGAUUGGAGGAAGACUCAUUAACCUGCAUUUUGCAGAUGACACAACCCUGCUUGCUAAAAGAUAAGAGGACUUGAAGCACUUACUGAUGAAGAUCAAAGACCGCGGCCUUCAGUAGAGAUUGCACUUCAACAUAAAGAAAACAAAAAUCCUCACAACUGGAUCAAUGAGCAGCAUCAUGAUUAACGGAGAAAAGAUUGAAGUUGUCAAGGAUUUCAUUUUAUUUGGAUCCACAAUCGACACCCAUGGAAACAGCAGUUAAGAAAUCAAAAGAUGCACUGCCAUCAGGCAAAUUGGUGCAAAAGACCUCCAAAGUGUUGAAAAGCAAAGACAUCACCUUGAAAACUAAGAUGCAACUGAUCCAAGCCAAGGUGUUUUCAGUGGCCUCGUAUGUGUGGGAAAGCUGGCCGAUGAAUAAGGAAGACUCUAGAAGAAUUGAUGCCUUUUAAUUGUGUUGGUGAAGAAUUCUGAAUAUACCAUGAACUGCCAAAAGAACGAAAAAAUCUAUCCUGAAAGAAGUAUAACCAGAAUGUACCCUAGCCUAGAAACAAAGAUGGCUGGCUAGACUACAUCCUACAUACUUUGGACCUGUUUUCAGAAGGAAUUAGUCCAUGGAGAAGGAUAUCAUGUACUAUUUCUUUGGACUAUCUAAGACCUGAAGAACAAAAUCUCAUGGUCCAAAUUAACGUUUUUACUUACUCAUUUUCAAAUGUAGCCCUGGUGGAACAGUGGUUAAGAGCCUGGCUGAAACUAAAAGGUUUCAACCAGCCUCUCCUUAGAAACCCUACUGUGCAGUUCUAUUCUGUCCAAUAGGGUCACUGUUAGUUAAAAUUUAAUCCACAGCAAUGAGUUAUUUAAUUUUCAAAUAUAAUUUUUUUGUGUUAAUGUCUAAAUUCUAAAGUAAAUUUCAUUUUAUAAACUUCUGGUUUUAUAAAUUUAUUUUCUAUUAUUCAAAUUUAUUGUUAUGGCAGAAUCAAAUUUAAAAAGUGACAUAAUUUUCAAUCCAGGCAAAAUGAAACGGCAAUAACUAAGUGCCGUGCAAAAAUGGAAGCCUGCAGAAGAUAAAAAGAAAAUGAUCUGUGAAUCCCUAAAGACUAUUCCAAAACUCGUUUUUAGAAUGUAAUAAAUCAGCAGAGACUUCUUCCAUUAAAGGUACGUGCUUAAUGGGUGGGAAUCAUCCUACUAGUACCACUAGUGCUGAAAUUAAUGAUGGCAAUACAAAUAUAACAGAAUUUGUUCCAAAUUCUGCAUCCAUUUCUCGCUGUAGUAAAAAAAAAAAGAAAUUAGUAAUGAUCUAGAAAGUGAAACUAAGAAUAUUAAAUUGUCACAUCUGCAGACCCCAUAAAUAACAGACAUGCAGAUCCUGCCUUGUGGAAUAAUUUUCUUCCAAUGAAGUAAAUUACUGGAUCAAAAGAGGCCCAAGUGAUUGUCAACAUCACAGUUGUCCACUUGUAAAUUCGUGUUGAAAAUUCCUGGACGGUAAACAAAGUUCUGUAGCCAGAAUUUUUUCUAGAGUGCAAAGUUAAUGAUGAAAAUUAUAAGAGGGAGUGGCUACUGCAAUCUCCAUCAGUCAGCUCUGUGUACUGCUUUGUUAGCAAACCUACUAACCAAACAAACAAACCCGUCAUCCUCAUUUAAUUCUCGAAUUGUUACAGAUGAAUUUAGCAAUUGGUGCAAAUUGAAUAGGAUCGGUAAACAUGAAAAUAGUUCAAUUCACAGAGAUUAUGUUAUCAUAUUUAAACCAAACACAUUGUUCUGGCUUAAUUUAUGAACUGGAAUCACAAAUUAAUGAACAUCAGUAUUGAAAAGCCAUUUUGUAAUGUGUCGUUGUUGUCAUAACAAUCACUGAAAGUGGACUAUCUUCGUGAAAAAGAAAUGAAGUCUUUGGGUCCCCACGAAAUGGAAAAUUUUAAAGUUGGCUUCAACUUGCUGCUCAUUUGAUCUAUUUUUAGCAAGUCACAUCUCAAAACACGGUAACACAGGAAAGGGCAAUCCAUCCCAUAAUUCUAAAAUAAUGUGUAAAAAAUGUAUAAUCUUGAUAAGUGAUGAAGUUCAAUCAACUACUGUCAGUGAAAUAAGCAUAGCUCGAUAUUUCAUUUUGUCUGUGGAUUCCACUUCUGAGCCUUCUCAUACAGGCCAGCUAAGGAUUGUUUAAAGAUCCGUAUCUCCAACAGAUAGAAAACCUGUGUGGUGAUUUAUCACAUUUGCUAGCUUAAAAAAUCUAAAAAAUCAUACUGGUAAAGACAUUGCAAAGCAAGUGUUUCACUAAUUAUGUGAAGUUUGCAAAAUUGAUUUUUCUAAGUGCAGAGACCAAUCCUAUGACAAUGCUGCCAUUACGUCACUGCAUUAUAAAGGCAUACAACAGAAAAUUCUGGAAUGAAAUUAAUAUGCCCUUUUCAUACCAAGGUGCUGCACAUUCACUUAAUUUUGUAGGAUGUAUCACAAUAGAUUUUUUUUGUCCAAAAGCAAUUGAUGUUUUUUCUAAUAUUCAGUUACUUUACAAAUUUUUUGCCACCUCUACUCACUGAUGAGCUGUUCUUAAAACACACUCAGGGAAUGAUUGAGCAUUAAAAUGUCUAAUACACAUUGGGAAGCACAUGCUAUAGCAACAAGUACAAUUCUAGGCACCACACAGAAUAUUGCUGAAGACCAGAUACAGAAAGGAAACACCAAAACAGAAGCUAAAAUCAUCGCUGCCUUAGUCACCUAGUGCUGCCACAACAGAUACCAUAAGUGGAUGGCUUUAACAAAGAGAAAUUUAUUUUCUCACAGUCUAGUAGGUUACAAGUCCAAAUUCAGGACGUCAGCUCCAGGGGAAGGUUUUCUCUCUCUGUUGAUUCUGGAAGAAGGUCCUUGUCCUCCAUCUUCCCAUGGUCAAGGAGCUUCUCAGGCGCAGGGACCCCGGGUCCAAAGGACAUGCUCUACUCUUGGUAGUAUGAGGUCCCCAACUCUCUAUCCUUUCAUCUCCUGGGAGAUAAAAGGUGGUGCAGGCCACGCCCUAGGGAAACUCCCUGUAUCUCAAAUCAGGGAGGUGUUAAAAUCCCACCCUAAUCCUCUCAACAUAAAAUUACCAUCACAAAAUGGAGGACAACCUCACAUGGCCUAUCCAAGUUGAUACACACAUUUUGGGGGGACAUAAUUCAAUCCAUGACAUUCUACCCUUUGGCCCCCCCAAAAUCACAUUCUUGCAAAUGGAAAACAUAUUCAUCCCAUCACAAACCAAAACCAAACCCACUGCCGUCCAGUCGAUUCUGACUCAUAGCGACCCUAUAGGACAGAGUAGAACUUCCCCAUAGAGUUUCCAAGGAGUGCCUGGCAGAUUCGAACUGCCAACCUUUCAGUUAGCAGCUGUAGCACUUAACCACUACGCCACCAGGGUUUCCUCAUCCCAUCAUAGCAUAGAAAAAGUCUUAAAUCAAGUCCAAGUCCAAAAUUCAAAAACCCCUCUUCAUCUGUGAAAUCUAGGACACAAGUUAUCUGCUUCCAAAGGUACAAUGGCAUAAAAGGAACAAGCUAGACAUUUCCAUUACAAACUGAAGAACUUGAGGGAAAGAAGGCAUAACAUGAACCAAGCGAGUCAGGAGAACACAUCGCAUUAGCCCUCAAAGACAUUGCAAACCAAGUGUUUCACUAAUUAGAUGAAGCUUGCAAAAUUGAUUUUUCUAAGUUCAGAGACCAAUCCUAUGACAAUGCUGAGAAAUGUCACUGCAUUAUAAAGGCAUGCAACAGAAAAUUCUGGAAUGUAAUGAAUAUGCCAUUUUCAUACCAAGGUGCUGCAUAUUCACUUAAUUUUGUAGGAUGUAUCACAAUGGAUUUUUGUCCAAAAAAUGAUUUUUUUCUUCUAUUCAGAUAUUUUACAAAUUUUUUGCCAUCUCUAUUCACCGAUGAGCUGUUCAUAGGCCAUGAUCAGCAUUAAAAUGUCUUUCUAAUACCCACUGGGAAGCACAUGCUACAGCAACGAAUGCAAUCCUGGAAUCACACGCUCAGAUUCUAGGUGCCAUAGAGAAUAUUGCUGAAGACCAGUCACAAAAAGGAGAUACCAGAACAGAAGCUUAAAACGUCACCAACAAAAUGUAAACACAGCCCAUAUAUUUAUGUUUGUUAUGUAUAAUAAUAUAUAGCAUCAUUUUCAUUUGAUGAGUCAAUUCUCCAAGAUUCAGAAAUAAAUUUAUAGACAUGCAUGGAUCUCUACCACCUAUUAACAAGAUAUUUACAUAAGAGAAUAUUUUGAAAACACAAUAAAACAAAUACUGCCAAAUACUGAUUAUCAAGCAGUUCCUUGUUGCAGAAGCAUUAAAAGAAACAAGUAAAUGACAGAAAUGCUCCAGAAGUAUUGAGUGCCAGGGAUCAAUUUCACACAACCAUCCUCACUGACACACUUGAAUCUUGCAUGAAAUGAAGGGCAAAAUGAAAUGGCAAUAACUAAGUGGAGUGCAAAAAUGGAAGCCUGCAGGAGAUAAAAAGAAAAUGAUUUGUGAAUCCCUAAAGACAAUCCCAAAAUUCCUUUUUAGAAUGUAAUAAAUCAGAAGAGACUUCUUCCAUUAAAGAAGCAUUAGAAGAAACAAGUAAAUGACAGAAAUGCUCCAGAAGUAUUGAGUGCCAGGAAUCAAUUUUACAUAACCACCAUCACUGACACACUUGAAUCUUGCAUGAAAUGAAGGGCAAAAUGAAAUGGCAAUAACUAAGUGGAGUGCAAAAAUGGAAGCCUGCAGGAGAUAAAAAGAAAAUGAUUUGUGAAUCCCUAAAGACAAUCCCAAAAUUCCUUUUUAGAAUGUAAUAAAUCAGCAGAGACUUCUUCCAUUAAAGGUACGUGCUUAUGGGUGGGAAUCAUCCUACUAGUACCACUAGUGCUGAAAUUAAGGAUGGCAAUACAAAUAUAACAGGAUUUGUUCCAAAUUCUGCAUCCAUUUCUUGCUGUAGUAAAAAAAAAAAAAAAUUAGUAAUGAUCUAGAAAGUGAAACUAAGAAUAUUAAAUUGUCACAUCUGCAGACCCCAUAAAUAACAGAAAUGCAGAUCCUGCCUUGUGGAAUAAUUUUCUUUCAAUGAAGUAAAUUACUGGAUCAAAAGAGGCCCAAGUGAUUCUCAACAUUACAGUUGUCCACUUGUAAAUUUGUGUUGAAAAUUCCUGGAUGGUAAACAAAGUUCUAUAGCCAGAAUUUUUUCUAGAGUGCAAAGUUAAUGAUGAAAAUUAUAAGAGGGAGUGGCUACUGCAAUCUCCAUCAGUCAGCUCCCUGUAUUGUUUUGUUUGCAAACCUACUAACCAAACAAACCUGUCAUCCUCACUUAAUUCUCGAAUUGUUACAGAUGAAUUUAGCAAUUGGUGCAAAUUGAAUCGGAUCAGUAAACAUGAAAAUAGUUCAAUUCACAGAGAUCAUGUUAUCAUAUUUAAACCAAACACAUUUGUUCUGGCUUAACUUAUGAACUGGAAUCACAAAUUAAUGAACAUCAGUAUUGAAAAGACAUUUUAUAAUGUGUCAUUGUUGUCAUAACAAUCACUGAAUGUGGACUAUCUUCAUGAAAAAGAAAUGAAGUCUUUGGGUCCCCACGAAAUGGAAAAUUUUAAAGUUGACUUCAACUUGUUGCUCAUUUGAUCUAUUUUUAGCAAGUCACAUCUCAAAAUAUGGUAACACAGGAAAGGGCAAUCCAUCCUAUAAUUCUCAAAUAAUGUGUAAAAAAUUUAUAAUCUUGAUAAGUGAUGAAGUUCAAUCAACUACUGUCAGUGAAAUAAGCAUAGCUCGAUAUUUCAUUUUGUCUGUGGAUUCCACUUCUGAGCCUUCUCAUACAGGCCAGCUAAGUAUUGUUUAAAGAUCCGUAUCUCCAACAGAUAGAAAACCUGUGUGGUGAUUUAUCACAUUUCCUAGCUUAAGAAAUCAUACUGGUAAAGACAUUGCAAAGCAAGUGUUUCACUGAUAAUGCGAAGCUUGCAAAAUUGAUUUUUCUAAGUGCAGAGACCAAUCCUAUAACAAUGCUGCCAUUACGUCACUGCAUUAUAAAGGCAUACAACAGAAAAUUCUGGAAUGAAAUUAAUAUGCCAUUUUCAUACCAAGGUGCUGCACAUUCACUUAAUUUUGUAGGAUGUAUCACAAUAGAUUUUUUUUUGUCCAAAGGCAAUUGAAGUUUUUUCUAAUAUUCAGUUACUUUACAAAUUUUUUGCCACCUCUACUCACUGAUGAGCUGUUCUUAAAACAUAUUCAGGCAAUGAUUGAGCACUAAAAUGUCUAAUACACAUUGGGAAGCACAUGCUAUAGCAACAAGUACAAUUCUAGGUGCCACACAGAAUAUUGCUGAAGACCAGAUACAAAAAGGAAACUCCAAAACAGAAGCUAAAAUCAUCGCUGCCUUAGUCACCUAGUGCUGCCACAACAGAUACCAUAAGUGGAUGGCUUUAACAAUGAGAAAUUUAUUUUCUCACAGUCUAGUAGGUUACAAGUCCAAAUUCAGGACGUCAGCUCCAGGGGAAGGCUUUCUCUCUCUGUUGAUUCUGGAAGAAGGUCCUUGUCCUCCAUCUUCCCAUGGUCAAGGAGCUUCUCAGGUGCAGGGACCCCGGGUCCAAAGGACAUGCUCUGCUCUUGGUAGUAUGAGGUCCCCAACUCUCUAUCCUUUCAUCUCCUGAGAGAUAAAAGGUGGUGCAGGCCACACCCUAGGGAAACUCCCUGUAUCUCGGAUCAGGGAGGUGUUCAAAUCCCACCCUAAUCCUCUCAACAUAAAAUUACCAUCACAAAAUGGAGGACAACUUCACAUGGCCUAUCCAAGUUGAUACACACAUUUUGGGGGGACAUAAUUCAAUCCAUGACAUUCUACCCUUUGGCCCCCCCAAAAUCACAUUCUUGCAAAUGGAAAACAUAUUCAUCCCAUCACAAACCAAAACCAAACCCACUGCCGUCCAGUCGAUUCCGACUCAUAGUGACCCUAUAGGACAGAGUAGAACUUCCCCAUAGAGUUUCCAAGGAGGGCCUGGCAGAUUCGAACUGCCGAGCUCUUGGUUAGCAGCCGUAGCACUUAACCACUACGCCACCAGGGUUUCCUCAUCCCAUCAUAGCAUAGAAAAGGUCUUAAAUCAAGUCCAAAAUUCAAAAAUCCCUCUUCAUCUGUGAAAUCUAGGACACAAGUUAUCUGCUUCCAAAGGUACAAUGGCAUAAAAGGAACAAGCUAGACAUUUCCAUUACAAACUGAAGAAGCUUGAGGGAAAGAAGGCAUAACAUGAACCAAGCGAGUCAGGAGAACACAGCGCAUUAGCCCUCAAAGACAUUGCAAACCAAGUGUUUCACUAAUUAGGCGAAGUUUGCAAAAUUGAUUUUUCUAAGUGCAGAGACCAAUCCCAUGACAAUUCUGUGAAAUGUCACUGCAUUAUAAAGGCAUGCAACGGAAAAUUCUGGAAUGUAAUGAAUACGCCAUUUUCAUACCAAGGUGCUGCAUAUUCACUUAAUUUUGUAGGAUGUAUCACAAUGGAUUUUUGUCAAAAAAAUGAUUUUUGUCUUCUAUUCAGAUAUUUUACAAAUUUUUUGCCAUCUCUAUUCACCGAUGAGCUAUUCAUAGGCAAUGAUCACCAUUAAAAUGUCUUUCUAAUACCCACUGGGAAGCACAUGCUAUAGCAACGAGUGCAAUCCUGGAAUCACACACCCAGAUUCUAGGUGCCAUAGAGAAUAUUGCUGAAGACCAGUCACAAAAAAGCGAUACCAGAACAGAAGCUUAAAACGUCGCCAACGAAAUGUAAACACAGACCAUGUAUUUAUGUUUGUUAUGUAUAAUAAUAUAUUGUAUCAUUUUCAUUUGACGAGUCAGUUCUCCAAGAUUCAGAAGUAAAUUUAUAGACAUGCAUAGAUCUCUACCAGCUAUUAACAAGAUAUUUACAUAAGAGAAUAUUUUGAAAACACAAUAAAACAAAUACUGCCAAAUACUGAUUAUCAAGCAGUUUAUUGUUGCAGAAGCAUUAGAAGAAACAAGUAAAUGACAGAAAUGCUCCAGAAGUAUUGAGUGCCAGGAAUCAAUUUUACAUAACCACCAUCACUGACACACUUGAAUCUUGCAUGAAAUGAAGGGUAAGGAUGUAUGAAGUUCCUUCUGAUAUUUUUUUCCUUCUUAAUGUGAAUAUAACUGAUGAAGAAUUCCUGAAGGUAUCCAAUAAAUUAGCACAGGCUUAUCCUGAUGAGGAAACCCUGGUGGCAUAGUGGGUAAGUGCUACGACUGCUAACCGAGAGAAGGCAGUUCAAAUCCACCAGGGGCUCCCUGGAAACUCUAUCGGGCAGUUCUACUCUGUCCUAUAGGGUUGGGAUGAGUCAGAAUCGACUCGACGGCAGUGGGUUUGGUUUUUAUCCUGAUGACUUAAGACAAACCUUUAUGGAGAAGUGCUACAAAAUCAUUCUUACGUUAGAAUUAAGUUUAGAGAUUCAAGUCAAAUUUUACUCAUGUAGGCAUGUAAAUCAAAAAACCAAACCCAUUGCUGGUGAAUUGAUUUCAACACACAGCAACGCUAUAGGACAGAGUAGAAUUGCCCCCAUAGGGUUUCCAUGGAGCAGCUAAUGUAUUCGAACUGCCAAGCUUUUGGUUAGCAGCUGAGUUCUUAACCACUGCACCACCAGUGCUCCAAAUAUACUCUGGCCCAGUAGUUCAAAUGCAACAGCCGCUCCUUGAAAACCCUAUGAGGCAGUUCUACUCUGACCUAUAGGGUCAUUAUGCAUCAGAAUUGACUCCAACCCAACGGGUUUGUUCUGCCUACUGCCUCAUCCCUAUUUCAUUUUCUCAGAGAUAAGUUUCUCUGAUAGUGUCAGAUUCAGGAAUGUGAUGAAAAAUGUCUCUUGUAGGGGUGGGGCCAAGAUGGCAGAGUAGUCAGAUGCUUUAUGUAGCCCCUCUUAUAACAAAGACCCAGAGAAGUAAAUCGAUUAUAUAUGACAAUCUAGGAGCCCUGAACAUCAAAGGUGAAGUUACAGAAUUGGACUUAGUGGCAGGGGGAGGGGAAUAUGGUUCAGAAGCAGUGAGAGUUUGACAGACCUGACCCGGCAGAAACCAGCACCCUGCAGGCUGGAUCGGAUGGCAUGUGCGGUGACGCAAGCAGUGACACUCGGGACAUGUUUUCCACAUCUGAAGAGACCGAGUGGUGGAAAGCCUACACAAGCCUCCAUAAGCAGUGAAAAGCAGUGCUAAGUUGGCAAAAGAUAAGUACAUGCAUUUAAAAUGCCACACAAAUCAAAAAUCAUCCCCUUUGGGAAGAACACCUCUCCCAUUUACCUGCUUCCUCCCUCUCUGUUUUUAGUCUUGGACCAGCUUCAGCUAUUUCUGGGUCCCCUGGGCCAAAGUAGGAACUAUUACAUGCCCUGGAGCAGGAACAAACAACAAAAAAUAAUCUGCCAGCUUCCCUAAGCCAGGAACUCAGGGAAGGCACAGACAUAAGGGGUCCAAGGAGUUUGAAUGCCUUUCACCCUUGCACAGAUCUGUGUGGGCCCAUUUCAACAGCAUAGGCUCUCAUUAGCACACUACAACAGGGUAAAUACCUGAAGCCUAUUUUCAACUGUAUCAGCUAUAAAGUGGAGGGGCAGAUUUCUGAUAUUUGACAACGUUCUGCCAAUUAAGCAGAGUCCUCACCUACCCAUAUCAGUGACCUGAGGGUUGGUGGCUCCACCCAUGCCACCUAGCCACCCAAUUCAGGAGUCCAAGAGUAAGUGGUGAAUCCCAGUCCUUACAACCAACAGCAUUGGGUGACCAUGGUCUGGCUGCAAAACCCACCCACCUAUGUGCUCUAGGGAACAGGGACAUGCUUUCCUCCCAGACACUCAGGGGCAGUCAUCCCCCCCACAGUAGCCAGACACCUGUACCUACACCAAUCAACCCUGUAUAUGUAGGACUGUAGGUAAGAGCCUACACCACACACUUGGUGACCGACUACCUGGAUACCUGAGCUGAAUCCAUACAAGAAUGUAAAAGGGCUCCUAGGCUCACAUACCUAGUAACAGCUCUGAUCACCUGGUGACAGGAUGUAAGAACUUCAAAAGGUGCCAAUAAUCAAACUAGCUCACCCAAGCAGCCUAUUUGGGCAUAUCAAAAUAAAACAAGAAGCUAGGACACAGUACACACACACACACACAAAAAAACCAAACCCAGUGCCGUCAAGUAGAUUCCGACUCAGCAAGCAAACAUAAAAUAAAUGAAUAUAAUAACUCACUAAUGGCUCAGAGACAAGUGUAAAUAUCAAAUAACAUAAAGAGGCAGACCAUGAUGGAUUCAGGAAGCUCCCAAAACAACAAAUCAAGAAAUCUUCCAAAUGAAGAGAAAUUCCAGGAAUUGCCGGAGGUAGAAUUUAAAAGAUUAAGAGACCGAGCUCUUCAAGAGAUGCAGGAGGAGAUCAGGCAAAACGAAGAACAAGCCAAGGAACACACAGAUAAAACAACAGAGGAACUUAAGAAGGUUAUACAAGAGUAUAAUGACAAAUGUAACAGGCUGCAAGAAUCCAUAGAAAGAUAGCAAGCAAAUCCAAAAGAGUAACAAUAAAAUUUCAGAAUUAGACAACUCAAUAGAAAAUGAGAGGAGCAGAAUUGAGGCACUGGAAGUCAGAAUUAGUGAGACUGAAGAUAAAGCAAUUGACGCCAAGUUAUUUGAGGAAAAAUCAGAUAAAA